GACGAACGCUGGCGGCGUGCUUAACACAUGCCAGUCGAACGGAAAGGCCUCUUUCGGGGGGUACUCGAGUGGCGAACGGGUGAGUAACACGUGAGUAACCUGCCCUUGACUUUGGGAUAACUUCAGGAAACUGGGGCUAAUACCGGAUAGGAGCUCCUGCUGCAUGGUGGGGGUUGGAAAGUUUCGGCGGUUGGGGAUGGACUCGCGGCUUAUCAGCUUGUUGGUGGGGUAGUGGCUUACCAAGGCUUUGACGGGUAGCCGGCCUGAGAGGGUGACCGGCCACAUUGGGACUGAGAGACGACCCAGACUCCUACGGGAGGCAGCAGUGGGGAAGAUUGCACAAGGGGUGGAAGCCUGAUGCAGCAACGCCGUGUGCGGGAUGACGGCCUUCGGGUUGUAAACCGCUUUCGCUCAUGACGAAGCUUUGUGUGACGGUAGUGGGUAAAGAAGCACCGGCUAACUACGUG
rnacentral:rRNA from 1 species